AAGAAAAGUCAUAAAAAAGUCAUAGUAUAGUAUUUCAAAAAAUUCAUAAAAAGUCAUAGUAUAGCAUGUCAAAAAUGUCAUAGUAUAGCAUGUCAUAAAAUAUCACAAAGGUCAUAGUAUGGUCUGUC